UACGUAGGGGGCGAGCGUUGUCCGGAAUCAUUGGGCGUAAAGCGCGUGUAGGCGGCCCGAUAAGUCCGCUGUGAAAGUCCAGGGCUCAACCCUGGGAUGCCGGUGGAUACUGUCGGGCUCGAGUCCGGAAGAGGCGAGUGGAAUUCCUGGUGUAGCGGUGAAAUGCGCAGAUAUCAGGAGGAACACCAAUGGCGAAGGCAGCUCGCUGGGACGUGACUGACGCUGAGGCGCGAAAGCGUGGGGAGCGAACAGG
rnacentral:rRNA from 1 species